rnacentral:rRNA from 1 species
UGAGGAAUAUUUGUCAAUGGGCGAGAGCCUGAACCAGCCAAGUAGCGUGCAGGAUGACGGCCCUAUGGGUUUUAAACUUCUUUUAUAUGGGAAUAAAGUGAGGGACGUGUCCCUUAUUGCAUGUACCAUACGAAUAAGGACCGGCUAAUUACGUGCCAGCAGCCGCGGUAAUACGUAAGGUCCGAGCGUUGUCCGGAAUCAUUGGGCGUAAAGGGUACGUAGGCGGGUAAGCAAGUUAGAAGUGAAAUCCUGUAGCUCAACUACAGUAAGCUUUUAAAACUGCUCAUCUUGAGAUAUGGAAGGGAAAGUGGAAUUCCUAGUGUAGCGGUGAAAUGCGCAGAUAGUAGGAGGAAUACCGGUGGCGAAGGCGACUUUCUGGCCAUAAUCUGACGCUGGGGUACGAAAGCGUGGGUAGCAAACAGG